rnacentral:rRNA from 1 species
AUUGAACGCUGGCGGCAGGCCUAACACAUGCAAGUCGAGCGGAUGAAGGGAGCUUGCUCCUGGAUUCAGCGGCGGACGGGUGAGUAAUGCCUAGGAAUCUGCCUGGUAGUGGGGGAUAACGUCCGGAAACGGGCGCUAAUACCGCAUACGUCCUGAGGGAGAAAGUGGGGGAUCUUCGGACCUCACGCUAUCAGAUGAGCCUAGGUCGGAUUAGCUAGUUGGUGGGGUAAAGGCCUACCAAGGCGACGAUCCGUAACUGGUCUGAGAGGAUGAUCAGUCACACUGGAACUGAGACACGGUCCAGACUCCUACGGGAGGCAGCAGUGGGGAAUAGUGGACGAUGGGCCAAAUCCUGAUCCAGCCAUGCCGCGUGUGUGAAGAAGGUCUUCGGAUUGUAAAGCACUUUAAGUUGGGAGGAAGGGCAGUAAGUUAAUACCUUGCUGUUUUGACGUUACCAACAGAAUAAGCACCGGCUAACUUCGUG